GUCGACGGUGCCGCCUUCGGGCGGUGAAAAGGGAACGAGGUGAAGGGCCUCGGCUGUACCCGCAACUGUAAGCGGCAAAUCCUUCUGCCGGCCGCCACCAAGCGCACUUGGUGAAGGUCGGCGCAGAGCCGCGAGCCAGGAGACCUGCCGUCACCU
rnacentral:ncRNA from 1 species